rnacentral:rRNA from 1 species
CAGUAGCCACGGGAAAACGGAGGGGGCUAGCGUUGUUCGGAAUUACUGGGCGUAAAGCGCACGUAGGCGGCUUGGUAAGUUAGAGGUGAAAGCCCGGAGCUCAACUCCGGAAUUGCCUUUAAGACUGCCGAGCUAGUAGGUGAGAGAGGUAAGUGGAAUUCCGAGUGUAGAGGUGAAAUUCGUAGAUAUUCGGAAGAACACCGGUGGCGAAGGCGGCUUACUGGCUCGGUACUGACGCUGAGGUGCGAAAGCGUGGGGAGCAAACAGGAUUAGAUAUCCCAGUAGUCCCUGUCUCUUAUAC